GGGGAAUAUUGGUCAAUGGGCGAGAGCCUGAACCAGCCAAGUAGCGUGAAGGAUGACUGCCCUAUGGGUUGUAAACUUCUUUUAUAAAGGAAUAAAGUCGGGUAUGUAUACCCGUUUGCAUGUACUUUAUGAAUAAGGAUCGGCUAACUCCGUGCCAGCAGCCGCGGUAAUACGGAGGAUCCGAGCGUUAUCCGGAUUUAUUGGGUUUAAAGGGAGCGUAGAUGGAUAUUUAAGUCAGUUGUGAAAGUUUGCGGCUCAACCGUAAAAUUGCAGUUGAUACUGGAUAUCUUGAGUGCAGUUGAGGCAGGCGGAAUUCGUGGUGUAGCGGUGAAAUGCUUAGAUAUCACGAAGAACUCCGAUUGCGAAGGCAGCCUGCUAAGCUGCAACUGACAUUGAGGCUCGAAAGUGUGGGUAUCAAACAGGAUUAGAUACCCUGGUAGUCCACACGGUAAACGAUGAAUACUCGCUGUUUGCGAUAUACGGCAAGCGGCCAAGCGAAAGCGUUAAGUAUUCCACCUGGGGAGUACGCCGGCAACGGUGAAACUCAAAGGAAUUGACGGGGGCCCGCACAAGCGGAGGAACAUGUGGUUUAAUUCGAUGAUACGCGAGGAACCUUACCCGGGCUUAAAUUGCAGAUGAAUUACGGUGAAAGCCGUAAGCCGCAAGGCAUCUGUGAAGGUGCUGCAUGGUUGUCGUCAGCUCGUGCCGUAAGGUGUCGGCUUAAGUGCCAUAACGAGCGCAACCCUUGUUGUCAGUUACUAACAGGUUUUGCUGAGGACUCUGACAAGACUGCCAUCGUAAGAUGUGAGGAAGGUGGGGAUGACGUCAAAUCAGCACGGCCCUUACGUCCGGGGCUACACACGUGUUACAAUGGGGGGUACAGAGGGCCGCUACCACGCGAGUGGAUGCCAAUCCCCAAAACCUCUCUCAGUUCGGACUGGAGUCUGCAACCCGACUCCACGAAGCUGGAUUCGCUAGUAAUCGCGCAUCAGCCACGGCGCGGUGAAUACGUUCCCG
rnacentral:rRNA from 1 species